UACGGAGGGUGCUAACGUUGUCCGGAAUUACUGGGCGUAAAGCGCAUGUAGGUGGUUUCGCACGUCAGUGAUGAAAGACUGUCGCUUAACGACAGACCCGUUACUGAUACGACGAAGCUUGAGGGAAACAGGGGUAAGCGGAACUUUCGGUGUAGGAGUGAAAUCCGUAGAUAUCGAAAGGAACACCAAUGGCGAAGGCAGCUUACUGGGUUUUUCCUGACACUAAGAUGCGAAAGCGUGGGGAGCAAAC
rnacentral:rRNA from 1 species